GUGGGUGGGAAUAGCAAGUAUCUACUUUAUCAGUUUGUUCUUGUUCUUCGUGACACUGGCAACAGAUACAAACAGUCUAGAUAUGCCUACAUCUGUGCUCUGUCCUGUCAUUCACAUGCCACUGAUGUAUAGGCACAGACAGAAUUUGUAAAGCUGUCGUGCAUCAGUGUCCUGGAUCAGUGCCACUGUACACUACAGUGGUACAAAACAACUACGUACUAAUUGUGACCACUGACAAUGAAUAAAUGAACUGGCAGGACCUGUGAACCAGGCUGGAGAAUGACCAGCCUUGCCAGGGCCAGUCAUUGUUGAUGUCUUCCUGCUGCCUCAUCACUGAUCCCGCCUAACUCAACCAACUGGCUCUUUCCACCUCAGUCCCUAGCACUACAGAAGAGAAUUUAUUUCCAAUGUAGGAUCACGCAACCUGCAGUUUCCAUUUCCCUCCUAAUUCCAGUGCAGGAGUCUGUUGAAUAAAUGUCUGGCGACCGUCAAGUUUACACCCAAAUUGCAUUAAGGCCAAAUGAGCAUGUUCAGAUUCGCUGGCUCUUACCGGUCUUUGGCAAGUGCACAGCCUGUAAUGAGCAUCCUCUAAUGAAACCUACCUCUUAUUAGAGAUGAUGGGGACUCUCCACCCCUUGAUCUGAUUUAGUUCUGUGUCAGAGACCUCUAUCUGCAGCGGGAGACGAGGAACCCAGACUGUCAUUUCUAAAGGGGCACUCAGAUGCUGCUCUGAACAUCAGUAUUGCUGAGUUACUAAAUCUCACUCAAGCAAUUUAGCAGCCAUUGCAAGGAUCCAGGUGACCUGACAGGACCUGUUCGUUACAGCUAGUUAAAAUAUUUUGCCAGACUAUCUGUGGAAGGAAACACUAGACUCUUCAAAGCCUUGUAGUAGCAGGACUUCAGCCAGCCUGGGAAAGCCAUGGAAAGAAGCAAGAGCCCCCUCAAAUCACACAUGAUCCCUAUCACUGACCUCCUGUAUCCAGUUGUCCAGAGAAUACUGUUCCCAUCCCUUUCCUAAAAGGAUCUUACUGCUUUUCUCAUUACAUUUUUGCAGAGGCUGUCUAGGGUAGAUAAGAAUUUGUGUGGCUGACCAUUCCUCUGGUCCCAUAAAAUCCAUGUUAGCUUUGGGCUGAGAAGAAUCCAAAGAUCUAAUAGGAGGGAGGGAAAGGGGAAUGUACAUUGUAACUCCCAGAAGGGGUACCCAGCAUUUCACUGUUAGCUCUCAGAAACAGCUGUAACACUCUUUCCCCAACUCAUUACCAUUAUUAAAUCCCCAUGGGAUAACAGUAAAAUCCUCACAGGAAAUUGCUUUUCACAAAGUCACAGCUAGUAAGUCUUUGAAAAUAAGAUGUACCUGGACCAGUUCUAGUUUAGAAAUUUCAGGGGUGGUCAAUUAGGAAAGUAAGUCUUUGAUACUUCCACAUAACAUCUGUAUUUCAGAAACACUCUAGGACUCUGUCCCCAGUCCAUGUUCCUGUAAGUGAUCCUUCCCCCAUACAAGCACUCUCCAUUUAUAGUAUACACUUUAAACACAGCCCUGCCACCUGGGCAAGCUCAUGGGAUCUCUUCUGAUUCAGCACUGCACACAUUUUCCUUGGUCUACCAGCAUAAAUGGUGAUAUUUAGUAAUGCAAGUUAUGUUCAUGAGUCCUGCCUAAAUCACUACUGUCAGAAUAAGAAUGGAGGAGUCUCUUAUAACCAUUAAAAAUGAAUAAGGAAGAAAAUAACCAAGCAAAAGCAGCUCAUUUGAGCUAUAAAAGACUCCAGAACACAAGCUGUGUAUCAGGGUACAUAAGGAUGAUGCCAUUAUUAGCUCUGUAAGUCCCUUAUAAGUCACUCAGGGAAGGCGGAGUCAUCUUUAAUCACCCAUGCUUAACCUGAAGUGUUGGAGUGAGAUUUGUUACUGUGAUAACUGAAUCCUGCCUGAAAUUAUGGAAGGCAGAGGUAAGUGACUAUAAUGAAGAAGUAGCACAGCGGGUAGAUCACCACUAAACUCACUAUCCACCCAAGAAGGGACCUGUCCUAGUCUGGGAUUCUCUGAGGACCCUGAGGUUAAGAAAUCACCAUCCUCAGAUCUGAUGACAGCAACUGAUGUGUUAACCACUCUGGAUGCUUCUGGAAUUAGGAACAACCACUGAACAGCUGCUCUUGAGAAAUAAUUAAAGCACCUCCUGUGUGGCAGAGAAAGAUUUAUUUAUUUUAUUUUCCCAGAAAGAAACAGUAAAGGCAAAUGGCUAUCACAUCAAGUUCAGGGAUGCUCUUCCUGUUCCUCAGUUACUCAGGGACUUACACUUUCAGCAGGGUAAAUAUCCCAAGCUGGGCUGCUCCACACCUGCUGGAAGAA